rfam:Hordeum vulgare subsp. vulgare, WGS project CAJW01000000 data, contig: morex_contig_107083
CUACUACUCCCUCGUCCGGAAUUACUUGUCACAAAAAUAGAUAAAAAUAAAUGUAUCUAGAACUAAAAUACAUCUAGAUACAUUCAUUCCUAUGACAAAUAUUUCCGCACGGAGGGAGUAUAUU